UACGAAGGGUGCAAGCGUUACUCGGAAUUACUGGGCGUAAAGCGUGCGUAGGUGGUGAGUUAAGUCUGUCGUGAAAGCCCCGGGCUCAACCUGGGAAUGGCGAUGGAUACUGGCUCGCUAGAGUGCGGUAGAGGAGAGUGGAAUCCCGGUGUAGCAGUGAAAUGCGUAGAGAUCGGGAGGAACAUCAGUUGCGAAGGCGGCUCUCUGGACCAGCACUGACACUGAGGCACGAAAGCGUGGGGAGCAAACAGG
rnacentral:rRNA from 1 species